GCACAUGGCAAACAUUGAAAUAUACUUAAGACAUUUGAAACAUCUCUCUAGACAUCACCCACAGAAGCUCUGUGUUUCAGCAUUUCAGCUACCGGGUUUGUUUGUUUGUUUGUUUGUUUGUUUGUUUGUUUAAGAAUAUUCAUUCUCCCUUUCAGGAAAACUGUGUAGAGAUGAAGAGAGCGGGUCAGCAUGAGAGAGAGGAAACUGGCGAGAACAUGUUGGAAGACGAGCUGCAGGCUAACUGGUGCCUCCCACCUUCAUUACUGUGCUUCCAAAUCAAUCUCUCUGCUCUCCUUGAGUGGCAAAUAAAAAAAUCAGCUCACAAGAUAUAUGUGUGUGCUGUUCGUGAUGAUCCUCACCGUCCAUCUGCCGCACAUGCCAGCCUGAAGACGCUGCAGGGAGAAUUAAAGAUGUCCCGAGUCCACAGCAGAAUCCAGAGGCCUUUUUCUUCUGGACACAUGGCGUUGGUCACCUGGGGCUUGUCCCACCUCGUCCACUCUGCGGCAAAGAUGAUGAUUGCUGGUGGACAAUAACUGACUGCAUGCCUAACCUUCCAGAGCAACCAACUGGCUUAAAAUCUAGAGCCCAAGUGAGUCUGAGUCAUGUUAUUUUUUUUAUGUGUAUGAAUAUUUAGCCUGUGCCCACUGGAGCCAGAAGAGGGCAUUGGAUCCUGAAACUGAAGUUACAGAUGUUGGGAGCCACCAUGUGGGCACUAGGAAUUGAACUCAGGUCCUUUGUAAAAGCAAUCAGUGAUCUUAACCACUGAGCCAUCACUCCACCCCCAAAUUCUGUUUCUUGAAGAUAUUUGUGAUGAUUAAUCUGGCCAACCAGAGUCACAGUGGAAGCAACUAUGUGGGCACACCUGCAAGAUACCAUCUAAACUAGGUUAAUUGAGGUGGGGAGAGUGACCUGAAGGCAAGCCCUACCAUUCAAGGCCUCGACUGAACACCCAGGAGGAACCAGCACUCAUCCUUGUCUCCUCUUACUGUGGACAUGGUAAGACUAGCUCCUCCUGCUCUUGUCACCAUGCUGCCUUGGCCACGACAAACCAUAGUCCCUGGAAGUAUAAGUCAAAGUAAGCCCUUCUACCUUUCCUUCCUCCCUUUCUCCCUCCUCCCCACCUCCCCUCCCCUUCCCUCCCUCCCUUCCUUACAUUGCCAUUGCCAGAUAGUUUGUCUUAGCAAAAAAAUAACUAAUGUAAUGUUUAAAUUCAAAUGCACAUCUAAGAGCACUUAUGAAUCAAAGUACUCCCUAAAAUACACGGCAGAGUUCAGAUACUGCCUUUACCCUGGGAAGGAACUUUAGGAGAAGCACUAUAUAUGUAUCUAACAACCGUGUAUCAUUGUACAUUUGAUUUUAUUGCACGUGGCCUUACCACAGAGAAGGUAAAGUUGCCCAGUGUUAAAGAUCUGAGGACGUAGGGGAAUCCCUAACACAGUGCUCACCCUCAUCCUCCACACUGGUCAGAAUCCUUCCUAGCAACGGCAUUGCCGCUGCUGACUCCCCCAAGUCUUGGAAAUUGCAGAAUCUCUUGGUUUUCCAUGUUAGGUUUCUGUGAGUAGUCAUCCGGCCUUUGUCACAGGAAGCCUGUGGUCUCACUUGCUGGUUCUAACCAGGUGCUUUAGAACUGGUUGGUGCUCUACUCGACAUGACUGUCCUUCAUAUGGUUGGAAAGGUACCCACAGGUUCUUCACCCCUUCUGUGUUUAUACCUUUGGGCUCCUCAAGUCUCCCUCUGGUUGCCAUGACAGACAGUGCUUAUCCUAACCCUUGAGUCCACUCACCCAUGCUCAGAAGCCGUUCUGUGACAGUCUAAGCACCCAUUGCCGUCUGAGUUGGAAGCUGGGUUCAAAGCUAUUUUCUACCUUUCAGAUUCUAGGUUCAAUAAAGCAGAGCCCAGUGGUGAUGGAGACGCCAGUUUGAGCCUUUUUAAUACUCUGAACAAGCCCUGUCUUGCUGCUGGCCCAAGGUUGACGUCAGCGCUUCCUCUGCUUCAAAGCAAGAUACAGAAUUAUAAUAGGAUGUCUGGAUACCAACUGUGUCCUUGAUAACUCAGAGUCCAUUACAAAGAACUGCUCUGAGCCGUCUGAGCUGGACAUGGAAGCGAGGUGCUUGGCUGAAGCCUUAGUGUUGGACUGCUAAGGGAAGACAGAGCUGAAACGUGGAGGCCCGUGGGAGCAUUGUGUGAAUUUGUGUGUCAUUUAGCUCAAGAAGUGACUGAUUAGCUCUGUACUUGAGUCCUUAUAUUUCACAGCUACUUCAAGUACCUUGAAUCUAGAACAUUCUUAUCUGACAACAGUACGCAAUUAAAGUUCACAUCAGGUUUUCAUUAGACUCAUUCUGACUUUGUAGAACAUUUCUUGAAGAAUACGUUGCUAAGAAUCCUGACUUCCCCCCUCAUUCUUCCUUGUCUUGUGGCAAGAGACCAGCAGAACAUUCUGUCUCCAUAGGAUGAGAUCAUGCACAGCUACUGCCAGACCUUGGGAAGGCCAGUGGGGAUGUCACUUCUGUCUGUCAGCACCAGCAAUCCUGAAAUUUAGAGAGGCGUCACCACUCAUGUAACUUUGUGACUCUUCCUUUCGGGGUAACUUUCUGUGAAACUACUAGCUAGAAAAAUACAAUGAUUGAGGUAAAUAUGAAGUCUCACAGAUAUUUUUAAAUCAUAAGCUGUUUUCAAACACUUAUAGUACCUACAUCCCUCCACACCCCAUUUGACCAGUGCAUUUUAUAUAUAGUGACAUGGACUGUCUAUAUAGUGACAUGGACUGUGUCUAUAUAGUGAGUCUCUAUAGUGACAUGGACUGUGUCUAUAUAGUGACAUGGACUGUGUCUGUAUUUUGACAUGGACUGUGUCUAUAUAGUGUCGUGGACCUGUGUCUAUAUAGUGACAUGGACCUUGUCUAUAUAGUGACAUGGACUGUGUCUAUAUAGUGGCAUGGACUGUGUCUAUGAGUGGC
rnacentral:lncRNA from 1 species